rnacentral:rRNA from 1 species
UGCAUAUCAAUAAGCGGAGGAAAAGAAACUAACAAGGAUUCCCCUAGUAACGGCGAGUGAAGCGGGAAAAGCUCAAAUUUGUAAUCUGGCGCCUUUGGCGUCCGAGUUGUAAUCUCGAGAAGUAUUUUCCGCGCUGGACCGCACAUAAGUCUGUUGGAAUACAGCGUCAUAGUGGUGAGAACCCCGUAUAUGGUGCGGAUGCCCAGUGCUUUGUGAUAUACUUUCGAAGAGUCGAGUUGUUUGGGAAUGCAGCUCAAAUUGGGUGGUAAAUUCCAUCUAAAGCUAAAUAUUGGCGAGAGACCGAUAGCGAACAAGUACCGUGAGGGAAAGAUGAAAAGCACUUUGGAAAGAGAGUUAACAGUACGUGAAAUUGUUGGAAGGGAAACGCUUGAAGUCAGACUUGCAUUUUGGAGUUCAGCCGCAAGGUGUAUUCUCCAAUUCGCAGGCCAGCAUCAGUUUUUGGGGGUGGAAAAUCGCGGUUUGAAGGUAGCAGUCUCGGCUGUGUUAUAGCUUUCCGCUGGAUUCACUUUUGGGGACUGAGGAAACGCAGUACGCUUUUUGCAAGAUUCUAGAGUCUUUCGUACU